rnacentral:rRNA from 1 species
UUCGGAAUCUUGAGAGCGGCGCACGGGUGCGGAACACGUGUGCAACCUGCCUUUAUCUGGGGGAUAGCCUUUCGAAAGGAAGAUUAAUACCCCAUAAUAUAUUGAGUGGCAUCACUUGAUAUUGAAAACUCCGGUGGAUAGAGAUGGGCACGCGCAAGAUUAGAUAGUUGGUGAGGUAACGGCUCACCAAGUCAAUGAUCUUUAGGGGGCCUGAGAGGGUGAUCCCCCACACUGGUACUGAGACACGGACCAGACUCCUACGGGAGGCAGCAGUGAGGAAUAUUGGACAAUGGGUGAGAGCCUGAUCCAGCCAUCCCGCGUGAAGGACGACUGCCCUAUGGGUUGUAAACUUCUUUUAUACUGGGAUAAACCUACCCUCGUGAGGGUAGCUGAAGGUACAGUAUGAAUAAGCACCGGCUAACUCCGUGCCAGCAGCCGCGGUAAUACGGAGGGUGCAAGCGUUAUCCGGAUUUAUUGGGUUUAAAGGGUCCGUAGGCGGACUCGUAAGUCAGUGGUGAAAUCUCAUAGCUUAACUAUGAAACUGCCAUUGAUACUGCGGGUCUUGAGUAAAGUAGAAGUGGCUGGAAUAAGUAGUGUAGCGGUGAAAUGCAUAGAUAUUACUUAGAACACCAAUUGCGAAGGCAGGUCACUAUGUUUUAACUGACGCUGAUGGACGAAAGCGUGGGGAGCGAACAGGAUUAGAUACCCUGGUAGUCCACGCCGUAAACGAUGCUAACUCGUUUUUGGGUUUUCGGAUUCAGAGACUAAGCGAAAGUGAUAAGUUAGCCACCUGGGGAGUACGUUCGCAAGAAUGAAACUCAAAGGAAUUGACGGGGGCCCGCACAAGCGGUGGAUUAUGUGGUUUAAUUCGAUGAUACGCGAGGAACCUUACCAAGGCUUAAAUGGGAAUUGACAGGUUUAGAAAUAGAUCCUUCUUCGGACAAUUUUCAAGGUGCUGCAUGGUUGUCGUCAGCUCGUGCCGUGAGGUGUUAGGUUAAGUCCUGCAACGAGCGCAACCCCUGUCACUAGUUGCCAUCAUUCAGUUGGGGACUCUAGUGAGACUGCCUACGCAAGUAGAGAGGAAGGUGGGGAUGACGUCAAAUCAUCACGGCCCUUACGCCUUGGGCCACACACGUAAUACAAUGGCCGGUACAGAGGGCAGCUACUAUGCGAAUAGAUGCGAAUCUCGAAAGCCGGUCUCAGUUCGGAUUGGAGUCUGCAACUCGGACU